rnacentral:rRNA from 1 species
CAUGCAAGUCGAACGGCAGCACAGAGGAGCUUGCUCCUUGGGUGGCGAGUGGCGGACGGGUGAGGAAUACAUCGGAAUCUACUCUGUCGUGGGGGAUAACGUAGGGAAACUUACGCUAAUACCGCAUACGACCUACGGGUGAAAGCAGGGGACCUUCGGGCCUUGCGCGAUUGAAUGAGCCGAUGUCGGAUUAGCUAGUUGGCGGGGUAAAGGCCCACCAAGGCGACAAUCCGUAGCUGGUCUGAGAGGAUGAUCAGCCACACUGGAACUGAGACACGGUCCAGACUCCUACGGGAGGCAGCAGUGGGGAAUAUUGGACAAUGGGCGCAAGCCUGAUCCAGCCAUACCGCGUGGGUGAAGAAGGCCUUCGGGUUGUAAAGCCCUUUUGUUGGGAAAGAAAUCCAGCUGGCUAAUACCCGGUUGGGAUGACGGUACCCAAAGAAUAAGCACCGGCUAACUUCGUGCCACCAGCCGCGGUAAUACAAAGGGUGCAAGCGUUACUCGGAAUUACUGGGCGUAAAGCGUGCGUAGGUGGUCGUUUAAGUCCGUUGUGAAAGCCCUGGGCUCAACCUGGGAACUGCAUUGGAUACUGGGCGACUAAAGUGUGGUAGAGGGUAGCGGAAUUCCUGG